rnacentral:rRNA from 1 species
GACAUAGGUGGCGAACGUUAUCCGGAAUUAUUGGGCGUAAAGGGUGCGUAGGUGGUUCAAUAAGUUACUGGUGGGAAAUCGGGGCUCAACCCCGUGGAAGUCAGUAAUACUAUUAAACUAGAGGAUCGGAGAGGUUAACGGAAUUCUAUGUGUAGCGGUAAAAUGCAUAAAUAUAUAGAGGAACACCAAACGGCGAAGGCAGUUAACUAUUCGAUUCCUGACGUUGAGGCACGAAAGCGUGGGGAGCAAGACGG